UACAGAGGUCUCGAGCGUUAGGCGGAAUCACUGGGCCUAAAGCGUGUGUAGGCGGAUCGUUAAGUACCUUGUGAAAUCCCACGGCUUAACCGUGGAACUGCUUGGUAUACUGGCGGUCUUGAGCCAGCUAGGGGCUACCGGAACAAAUGGUGGAGCGGUGAAAUGCGUAGAUAUCAUUUGGAACGCCAAUGGUGAAAACAGGUAGCUGGGGCUGUGCUGACGCUGAGACACGAAAGCCAGGGGAGCAAACGGG
rnacentral:rRNA from 1 species